rnacentral:tRNA from 2 species
GGUGAUGUAGCUAAGUGGUAGAGUACUUGACUAGCAAGCAGAAAGCCCUGGGUUCAAUCCCAGCAACAUAA